CGUUAGGACACACCUUCCGUCGCGCGGCCGUUGCUGGUUGCUUCGGAAGGUCAAGUGCACAACCGGCUCGCGCAGCUGCACUGCUCCAAAGUAAUGAAUCUGCCGGUGUAACCGAAGCUGACGGAUCUCUGAAGCGAACGGACAAAACACUGUGCACUAUGUUUUUACAGUUGGAAGAAUAAGGGAGUAGUUCAGCUUGUCAUAGCCAGUAUGUCUGCAUGGUUGCAGCAAGACACUGGUCCAGCAAGUUCUGCUGAAUCCAGGAAAUCAGAGCCCAGAGGACAAGAGAAAAAAUGCUCAUGGGCAUCCUAUAUGACCAACUCCCCCACCGUGAUUGUCAUGAUAGGUCUGCCUGCGAGAGGCAAGACAUACAUGUCAAAAAAACUCACACGCUACCUCAACUGGAUAGGAGUUCCCACCAAGGUGUUUAACCUGGGCGUGUACCGGAGGGAGGCGGUCAAAGCAUACAAGUCUUAUGACUUUUUCAGGCAUGACAAUGAGGAAGCCAUGAUGAUACGGAAACAUUGUGCCUUAGUGGCCCUGGAAGAUGUGAAGAUCUACCUGAAUGAGGAAGGCGGACAAAUAGCUGUUUUUGAUGCCACAAACACAACUCGAGAAAGACGAGAUCUCAUAAUAGGCUUUGUGAAGGAGAAUGCAUACAAGGUGUUUUUUGUGGAGUCAGUUUGUGAUGAUCCAGAGGUUAUUGCUGCUAAUAUCCUGGAAGUCAAGGUGUCAAGUCCAGAUUAUCCAGAGACACACCGAGAGAGAGUCAUGGAUGAUUUUCUGAAACGUAUUGAAUGUUAUAAGGUCACUUACCAACCUUUAGACCCUGAUGCUUAUGACAAAGCUCUUUCCUUUAUUAAAGUGAUGAAUGUGGGUCGGCGGUUCCUGGUAAACCGCGUUCAGGACUACAUUCAGAGUAAGAUUGUCUACUACCUCAUGAACAUCCAUGUACACUCGCACUCCAUCUACCUGUGCAGGCACGGAGAGAGUGAGCACAACGUCCAGGGCCGUAUCGGGGGGGAUUCUGAACUCUCCCCCAGAGGAAGACAGUUUGCGAAUGCCCUGCGUGAUUUCGUUGAAGAGCACAAGCUGUCUGACUUGAAGGUCUGGACCAGCCAGUUGAGGAGAACCAUCCUGACAGCUGAAGAGCUGGGAGUUCCCUACGAGCAGUGGAAGAUCCUCAAUGAGAUAGAUGCGGGUGUGUGUGAGGAGAUGACCUAUGAUAUGAUCCAGAACACAUUCCCAGAAGAGUUUGCACUCCGGGAUCAGGACAAGUACCACUACAGAUAUCCAGGAGGAGAGUCGUAUCAGGAUCUGGUUCAGAGACUGGAGCCUGUCAUUAUGGAGCUUGAGAGACAGGGCAAUGUUCUGGUCAUCUGUCAUCAGGCGGUUAUGCGCUGUCUGCUGGCAUAUUUCUUGGACAAGAGCGCAGAUGGCCUUCCCUAUAUAAAAUGUCCCCUUCAUUCUGUCAUGAAGCUCACUCCUGUUGCCUACGGUUGCAAAGUAGAGAUGUUUUACCUGAAUGUGGAGGCCGUGAACACACAUCGAGAUCGACCACUUGCCAAAGUCAGGCGAGACUCCGCCCCUCUGGUUCAGAGGCGGAAUAGUUACACGCCCCUCUCCACACAUGACCAGGUUAAAAGGCCUCGCCUCUACAGUGCUGGCAACCGGCCCCGGCUGCCCCUCACACCCUCCCCUACCACCCUGCACUUCCCCGACAUGCCAGAGGGGGCACUGCUGCUUCAGCCAAACCAAUCUUAUCAUGCGGCAGCCAGUCAUCUGUGAGUAUGUUUAAUGUCACAGGGUUUGAAAAGCUCUUCUACACCUCAGAUCUCAUUAUGCUGUUUGACAUCUCAUAUACACUGUCAUGAAGGCACAUACAGUCUUUCUGUACUUAUAUAUUCACAUUGAAAGCAUUUUUGUGUAUGUGUGGUGUUAUAGCUAACUGUGUAUGUCUUGUGUUGGUUUAAGAUUCUUUGAACGGUUUCCUUUAGAGCUUCCCUUUUUCUGCUAUAGUUAUGAUCUUUUAUUCAUACUGGAAGAUUCAAUCAAACUCAUCACAUGUUCUUCAUCGUGUCAGUUGUGUCUUAAUGGGCUCCUUGUGUGAAGGAAACAGCUUUGACAGCGCAGAUGAAUUUAAUGACUGUUUCCGCUUCUGAGUGAGACAGAGAAGUUUCAAAAUCCUGCAUGUCACAUGCUUUCACAUUUUCCCACUCCACACCCAGCUUACUUUUAUCCAUGACUGGACCAUAUUUCCCAUCAGCCCUCUGCAUGACCUCGUAUGAUUUCAUAUAUCAGUAUCACUCAAAACACUCUUUAAUCCUCUGUUCUGAUAUGCCUUAUUGAAGAAAGAACAAAGAGAUUCUCCCCAUAAACUGAAUGUGAAUGAGAAUUUGGACACAACAUUAGUUGUGCAAAUACAUAUGUGGUUGAAAGAUGAAAAGAGAUUGAUAAAACAGAUUUAGCACAGAUUAAUCAGAGAAACCAGUUUAUAAUAAUUCAUUGGUUUUUAAUAUUAAACAAAAUGGAUAGUAAAUGAAUUGUGCCUAGUGUGAAAGAAGUAUAUUUGUACGUAACGAUAGAACAAAAAAGGAAGAUUAUUUGUCUUGCGCAAGAUUUAUAAUAAAAUGAAUGAUAUUUAUGGGAUAUUGUACAAAAUGCUAGUUAGGUAAACGUUUUGAAGAAAUGUGCAUUAUAAUGACAAAGCUGCAAACGUUUCAGUUAGUAAAUUAGUACAUUUAACAGUUUAGGUCAGUGAUGCUGGCAAAUGUAUUUUUAUAUAUUGAGGUUUUUGCUUACCAUGUAAUCCUAUAUGAAAGUGCACUUUUAGGCUGGAGAAUUCAAACUGGUUAUCCUUGGUUAUGAGUUUGUUCAAACUUAAACAGAAAUUACUGUCUGUUGCUGUUUAUAUGUUACACAUUAUGUAGCCAUAAUGCAGACGCACGUGUGGGAGGGGUUUCCUGGACAAAGGCCAUUGAAUAGAGAUUUAUAAUAAUCAACAGCAUAUCAUUUUGCAUGAAGGUAUUUGAUGCAUAACAUGUCUAUUAACUUUCUGUUUAAUUUUAGGUUAAAUUGUUUUAGGUCAAAUAACUGUUCACACAAUUUUUAUUACAAUCAAUGUUUAAUCAAAUCUUUGCCUCUUGUUCCUUUUAAAUGGUCCUGCAAUGUGACAAAUGCAAGUACAACUCCAUGUUUUCUCACAAUUAAUAUGAGGUCGAAUCUGCAUGCAUAAUUAUAAAAGAAUGUAGGAAAUAGGUUUAGAUGGAGUAGGCAUGUCACAUGCUAGACAUCUCAACUUUCCUGAAAAGAUUUUCAUGUCAAUUCAACAUAAUCCAGAUGUCCAGGAUUUCACUUCAAAGUGUGGAUGACUCAAACUAAUGGAAAUCAAUGUGCAUUUAUUCAGAUAUCUAAGCAUGCAUUGCACUUAUGUGAUCAAAUGUGAGUUUUAUCUGUUACAAAUGACAAAUUAUUUUACAGUGGUGCCACAGAAUGUAAGUUAGGAAAUAAUUGAGGAAAGAUGCCUGUAAUAUUUUUACUAUGGUGGUUGCUCUGAGUACAUACAAUAAUAAAAAUAUAUUAUAUAAU